AGGAGAGUUUGAUCCUGGCUCAGGAUGAACGCUGGCGGCGUGCCUAAUACAUGCAAGUCGAGCGAGAAUCAAGUGAACGGAGAUUCGUCAAGGUGAUCUUGAGGAAAGCGGCGGACGGGUGAGUAACGCGUAGGCAACCUGCCCUUAGCAGAGGGAUAGCCAUUGGAAACGAUGAUUAAAACCUCAUAAUGCUGAAGAGUCACAUGUCUUUUCAGCCAAAGAUUUAUCGGCUAAGGAUGGGCCUGCGUCUGAUUAACUAGUUGGUGAGGUAACGGCCCACCAAGGUGACGAUCAGUAGCCGACCUGAGAGGGUGAUCGGCCACAUUGGAACUGAGACACGGUCCAAACUUCUACGGAAGGCAGCAGUAAGGAAUCUUGCACAAUGGGGGAAACCCUGAUGCAGCAACGCCGCGUGAACGAUGAAGGCCUUAGGGUUGUAAAGUUCUGAUCUGUGGGAAGAAGAAAGUGACGGUACCACAGGAGAAAGCCCCGGCUAAAUACGUGCCAGCAGCCGCGGUAAUACGUAUGGGGCAAGCGUUAUCCGGAAUUAUUGGGCGUAAAGAGUGCGUAGGUGGUUACCUAAGCGCAAGGUUUAAUCUUGAGGCUCAACCUCAUUCUGCCUUGCGAACUGGGCUACUUGAGUGCUGGAGGGGAAAGCGGAAUUCCCAGUGUAGCGGUGAAAUGCGUAGAUAUUGGGAAGAACACCGGUGGCGAAGGCGGCUUUCUGGACAGUAACUGACACUGAGGCACGAAAGCGUGGGGAGCAAACAGGAUUAGAUACCCUGGUAGUCCCCU
rnacentral:rRNA from 1 species